ACAAGUUCAACCAACAUUAUUCCAGAAACAUAAUCAUCCUAACAUGCUUCUAAAUUCCAUUCUAACACCCUAACAAAUCCUACAAUAAUCUAAAACACCAAUGAACGCCUAGAUCAUCCUCCUCUCCACGCCAUGAUUCCACGGAUCACACCUUGCUUUUACCUGCAUCAAAGAAAGAGAUGCAUAAGUAUUUUAUAAAUACUUAGUGAGGCAAUCAUCCCACCACUGGCUAUACACACAAGCAGAAAUGAACACAUUCAAGUAUUAACUCAAACAACCACCAAAAUAACACAAAACAACACAACAUGACCCGUUCUGACGAGUAGUGUCGAUCGACACCAUCAGCAGGUGUCGCUCAACACUCGCGACCAUCCUCGCGAGAAAGAAAGUUGGUGUCGAUCGACACCCUCCAUUGGUGUCGAGCGACACCGAAACCCUAACAUCGCUCCAGCCGCUUCUCAUCAACGGAUCCACCAACUCCAGUACUCCAUGUCUGAUUUAUCACCUCCUCAUAAUCGUACCAAGACAUCAUACCACAUAAACAAGCAUACAAACACAUAAAUCAAUCAUCAAUCAGAGGAAACACUCAAAAUAUGCAUCAAAACUGAUUAGAUCAGCCUAGUCAUGCACUCACCUUUCAAAAGGACUGUAACAAAGACGAACAAAUCACAACAACAGCAACCAAGGACUCUCCUAACACCACAGCUACGAGAUCUCUCUUCCCCAGGACAGAAACACCAAGAACAAGCCUCUAAACACUCUCAAACCUCACAAAACCUCUCUAGAGAACUUAGAAACUUUAGAGAAGAAACAAAAGCGGCUGCCCUCACCCUAGGUCGACCUUUUCCUCUCUUAAACGCAACUUAGGUUAAACCAACCAAUAACCACACGAUUUUGCAAUUAAAAACGAACCGAUCAAACCGAAAUACGCUGGUGUCGAGCGACAUCCUUUAGUGGUGUCGAUCGACACCCCCCAAACACGGGCGUUACACUAACGUUCACAUCCUAAUUUACUACAAUGCAUGCAUAAUAGGGAUAAUAAUAACAGUCUGAAAAAUAUUUUCUAUAGUUAAAAGUUUUCAACCUAAUAUAUCUUUCAUAAAAAAUUAUAUGUUAUUUUUAAUAAUCUACAAUGUACAUUUUAGAGUUGUUUACUUUUACCAUAUUUUGUCCGCAGUUUUUUAGGGUUAUCAUAAUUUCUUUUGUUUCAAUAGUUGUAUCCUUUGCAAAGAGUUGUGUCUAUUUAAAUGAUCAUGUCCUUUGAUCUCUAUAUAUUUCCUCUCUUCUUAGAAAAUUACCAAUCUAAUGCUCUUUGCCACCAAUGUUUCAUUUUAUGAUAUUUAAAUUUUAUCCAACGUUAUUUAAACCCUAUAUACAGUAUCUAAUUUUGUUUUUUUCUAUCUCUCAUCUUAACUUACAAGGGUCUUUAAAUAGUUUUAGAAGUUCACAAGGGUCUUUAAAAGGUUUUUAAAGAAUUUACAAUGGUUUUUAAAGGGGUUCAGAAGUUUAUAAGGAUUUUUAAAGGGUUUACAAGGGUUUUUAAAAGAUUUUUAAACCCUUUUCAAAAAUUUACAAUGAUUUUUAAAUGGUUCUGAAAAUAUAUACAAGGUUUUAAAUGGUUUUUGAAGUUAAUAAGUGGUUUUUAAAGAUUUACAAGGAUUUUAAAAAGAAUUUUAUAAAUUUUAUAAGUGUUUUAAAGGGAUUUCUAAGUGUUUAUAAAUGUUAUAAAAUGAUUUACAAUGGUUUUAAAAGGUUUAUUAAAAAUUUUAAAGGUUUUGGAUGACUGUUAAAAGAUUUACAAUUGAUUUUAAAGGAUUUUUAAAAUAUUUACAAAGUUUUUUAAAGAAUUGCGGAUUUGGCGGAAAAUUUUGGCGGAAAUUUUUACAAGCUCGACUUUAGAUUAUCCAAUGGCUGACCAUGUUUUACAAGCUCAGAUUUUAACAGGAACAAGAGUUGGGAAAAUUUUUCUAAUACCCAGGAUGUUAAUUACACCAUCAGAAUCGAGAUUACCUUUCAAAAUGCGAAGAAGACAAUUUCCGGUUUCUGUCGCUUUUGCUAUGACUAUCAACAAGAGUCAAGGGCAAUAGCUGUCUUGUGUUCGUAUAUACUUGCCUAGACCGGUUUUUCCACAUGGGAAUUGUCAAGGGUGAAAUAAAUAGCAGUGCUUAUUACAGACGCAAAAGGAAAACCACCAUCGAAAACAAUGAAUGCGGUAUUCAAGAGGCUUUGGAAACCUCUGUUAGCAAAAUUCAUUGGUAAAUACUUUUUCGAUUAUGAUAUGCUUAAUUUGUUUACUCAAAAUUAUUUAGUUUAAUGCAGUUGAUGCAUAUUAUAUCCUGAUAA
rnacentral:lncRNA from 1 species